GCCAGCAUGGCAUAGUGGUUAGAGUGCUGGACUGUGACUUUAGAGACAAGAGUUCAAUUCCCUGGGUGACC